GACCGCUCCGAGAUGGCGUAAUGGUUAGAGUGUCCACCUCGAAUGCGAGUGAUCGCGGGUUUGAACCCCGUCCUAGUCU